rnacentral:tRNA from 5 species
CAGAAUAUAGUUUAAGCAGAAUUUUAGCUUUGGGAGCUAAAGGCGGGAGUUUGACUCUCCCUUUUCUGA